AGGUGGGCUAGAGGCACGUGGUGAGGGGUUGGGAAGUUAGUAGAGACCGAGCAAGGGGAAAAGCAGGGAAUCAGUUGCACUCCAGGCUCAGCAUGGGGGAAUUUAGAGUUCAGGGCAAGAGAGGGAGAUGAAAUUGACCAGACACUGACAACCCACAGCCCUGAAGCUGAUGAGCCUAUUGUCAUUUUGCAAAAGGACAGAAAAAUGAAUCACCUUGGAAACCAAGCAGCCAUGGAUGUGCAGUAACCAAGCUUUUCUCUGGGAGCUAAGAGGAGAGGGAAUCCUGUGCCAUUGAUCCAGACGGCGGCCACCACCUGCUCUAAGAAGGCAGCCAUGGCCAGCGUGACCUCAGCCCCUUUGGACACCCCGAUCACUCCGAGGCCUGGGCCUCUCACCUGAAAAACCCACAAAGAGCCACAUUGGAAUAAUCAUGCCAACAGCCUGGGAAUCUUCAAUUUGGCGCCAGCACAGGAUGGGAGCAGGAGGAGCCUGCAGGGGGCGCUGUGACACAGAAGAAGAUAGAGCCUGCA